AUUUAUUGAGAGAAAAAUGGAGGAGAGGCUUAAGGAAAUGAACAGAAACGAAAACGACCUUCUAGGUUGGGUUCUGAAGAAUUCAAAUCUCUCAAAAGAGCAAAUUCUUGAUUUGCUACUGAGUUUGCUCUUUGCUGGCCAUGAAACUUCAUCAGUAGCAAUAGCUCUGUCUAUUUUCUUACUCGAAAGCUGUCCUGCUGCUGUUCAACAAUUAACAGAAGAGCACUUGGAGAUUUCCCGGGCAAAAAAACAGUCAGGAGA
rnacentral:misc_RNA from 1 species